rnacentral:rRNA from 1 species
GAAAAAAAAUAGAUCACUUUCAACAACGGACCUCUUGGCUUUCGCAUCGAGGAAGAACGUGGCGAAGUGCUGUAAGUAAUUUGAAAAGCAAAAUACCGUGGAUCAUCGAACUUUUGAACGGAAAUUGCACCCUCUUCGGAAAGUAUGCCUGUCUGAGGGUAAAUAUAAUUUAGAUCGGUGUUUUGCUUUUUGUCACGCUCCGAAGUUUGAGUUAUCUUAACCUAUUUAAGAGAUUUAAAAGUGACACCUUCUGCGCAUUUUUAGACGUACGUAAAUUUUUCUAUUCGCCUACUUUAAUGCGAAAAUCUAUGAGAUGCGACAAAUAUUUGAUUGGUUUCGUUUCUAUAAUUAUUUUCAUGACUUGACCUCAUAUCAGGUAGAAGUACCCGCUUAACUUAAGAAAAUCAAUAGGCGGAGGAAUUUCAUAUGCUUGUCUCAACGAUUUAGCCAUGCAUGCCUAAGUAUUAAUCGUUAAUACAGGUUAAACUGCGAAUGGCUCAUUAAAUUAGUUAUAAUUUAUUUGAUAGUACUUUACUACUUCGAUAACCGUGGUAAUUCUACAGGUAAUACAUGCUAAAACCCGCGACUUCCGGAAGGGGGGGUAUUUAUUGGAUAAAAUAGCAAUAUCGGGCAACCGAUUCCCUUGGUGAGUCAUAAUAA